CCUACGGGAGGCUGCAGUGGGGAAUAUUGGGCAAUGGGCGCAAGCCUGACCCAGCAACGCCGCGUGAAGGAAGAAGGCUUUCGGGUUGUAAACUUCUUUUAAGAGGGAAGAGAAGAAGACGGUACCUCUUGAAUAAGCCACGGCUAACUACGUGCCAGCAGCCGCGGUAAUACGUAGGUGGCAAGCGUUGUCCGGAUUUACUGGGGGUAAAGGGCGUGCAGCGGGGCUGACAAGUCAGAUGUGAAAUCCCGCGGCUCAACCGCGGAACUGCAUUUGAAACUGUGAGUCUUGAGUACCGGAGAGGUCAUCGGAAUGCGUGGUGUAGCGGUGAAAUGCGUAGAUAUAAGGAAGAACACCAGUGGCGAAGGCGGAUGACUGGACGGCAACUGACGGUGAGGCGCGAAAGCGUGGGGAGCAAACAGGAUUAGAUACCCUGGUAGUC
rnacentral:rRNA from 1 species